rnacentral:misc_RNA from 1 species
GGAAAUGAUAGAUCUUUUCAUUUCCAAUAUUCCAAACUAGAAUCACUAAUCAUAAAUUUACCAAUAGGUAAACUUAUUGAAACAUUCCAACCCCAAAAAGAAAAAUAACCUCACGAAGCAAAUUAAACAAACCAAGAAUUUGCAAUAAAGAUUCUAAAACAAACCCACAUCAAAACACACUCAACAUGUCACAAAAUAGAAAUAAAAGAUUAUUAGAGUUGGACUCAGCACUGGAAUCCCUUGGGAACAUUCUUUUGGCAGACAUUGAGAAGCAAGCUAAGGGAGAGAGGAACAUUAAGGUUGAUGCCCAAAACACUAGCCUUAAUGGCAGUGCAAAGGCAGACAGCAGCUUCAAGAUCAGCAAGACCUUCAAUGAGACUGCAGCAUGGGGUCACCGGGGGCUUGCCGAUGGUAAUGUCGACGAGCCCGCCAAGCAGCUUGGCGCAGACGCCGAGUUUAAGAGUGUCCCUUGGGCAUUUUCCAUAGCCAGAUGAAGGGCUGGGCUUUGGGGUUGGCUUUGUAGGAGGGCAUGGCUUUGGCUUGGGUGGGUCAGGGACAUAGCAAUUGUUACAAGCUGAGACAAGGGAAAAGAAAAGGAGAUUGAGAGAAAGAAGGAAAGCAAGAGAGGCUGUAGCUUUGGAAGCCAUUUUAAUCCUUCUUUACAAAAAAAUUUGAAGGGAUUUUGAGGGAUUGGUGAUGGGAGAAAAAGAGGAGAAAGGGUGGGG